rnacentral:rRNA from 1 species
ACUUCAGGACGGGGACAACAGUUGGAAACGACUGCUAAUACCCGAUGUGCCGCAAGGUGAAACCUAAUUGGCCUGAAGAAGAGCUUGCGUCUGAUUAGCUAGUUGGUGGGGUAAAGGCCUACCAAGGCGACGAUCAGUAGCUGGUCUGAGAGGAUGAGCAGCCACACUGGGACUGAGACACGGCCCAGACUCCUACGGGAGGCAGCAGUGGGGAAUUUUCCGCAAUGGGCGAAAGCCUGACGGAGCAACGCCGCGUGGGGGAGGAAGGUCUUUGGAUUGUAAACCUCUUUUCUCAAGGAAGAAGUUCUGACGGUACUUGAGGAAUCAGCCUCGGCUAACUCCGUGCCAGCAGCCGCGGUAAUACGGGGGAGGCAAGCGUUAUCCGGAAUUAUUGGGCGUAAAGCGUCCGCAGGUGGUCAGCCAAGUCUGCCGUCAAAUCAGGUUGCUUAACGACCUA